AGAGCAGUCCAGGUAACCGCCUCGGCGACGGGGAGGAAAGUCCGGGCUCCACAGGGCAGGAUGCCGGGUAACGCCCGGUCGGCGCGAGCCGAAGGAAAGCGCCACAGAAAACAGACAGCCUUCGCGGGGGGCAGCCCCUGGAGGAGGUAACGGUGAAAAGGUAGGGUAAAAGCCUACCGGACACGGUGUGAGCCGUGUGCCUGGCAAGCCCCAUCCGGAGCAAGGUCGAAUAGAGGGGGAUGAGGCGGCCCGCCGACCCCUGGGUCGAUCGCUAGAGAAGCGCCGUAAGGCCCUUCCCAGAUAAAUGGUUACCCACGACAGAACCCGGCUUACGGACUGCUCGCUUA
rnacentral:RNase_P_RNA from 1 species